GACGAACGCUGGCGGCGUGCUUAACACAUGCAAGUCGAACGGAAAGGCCCUGCUUUUGUGGGGUGCUCGAGUGGCGAACGGGUGAGUAACACGUGAGUAACCUGCCCUGGACUUUGGGAUAACUUCAGGAAACUGGGGCUAAUACCGGAUAGGAGCUCCUGCUGCAUGGUGGGGGUUGGAAAGUUUCGGCGGUAGUGGAUGGACUCGCGGGUUAUCAGCUUGUUGGUGGAGUAGUGGCUUACCAAGGCUUUGACGGGUAGCCGGCCUGAGAGGGUGAACAGCCACAUUGGGACUGAGAGACGGACCAGAGGCCUACGGGAGGCAGCAGGGGGGAAUAUUGCACAAUGGGCGGAAGCCUGUGGCAGAAACGCUGCGUGCGGGAUGACGGCCUUCGGGUUGUAAACCGCAUUAGCCUGUGACGAAGCUGGAGUGACGGUAAUAAGUGAAGAAGCACCGGCUAACUACGUG
rnacentral:rRNA from 1 species